rnacentral:rRNA from 1 species
GACGAACGCUGGCGGCGUGCCUAAUACAUGCAAGUCGAGCGAAUGGAUUAAGAGCUUGCUCUUAUGAAGUUAGCGGCGGACGGGUGAGUAACACGUGGGUAACCUGCCCAUAAGACUGGGAUAACUCCGGGAAACCGGGGCUAAUACCGGAUAACAUUUUGAACCGCAUGGUUCGAAAUUGAAAGGCGGCUUCGGCUGUCACUUAUGGAUGGACCCGCGUCGCAUUAGCUAGUUGGUGAGGUAACGGCUCACCAAGGCAACGAUGCGUAGCCGCCACGAGAGGGUGAUCGGCCCAACUGCGACUCAGACACGGCCCAGACUCCUACGGUGUGCACCGGUAGGGAAUCUGCCGCAAUGGACAAAAGUCUGACGGAGCAACGCCGCGUGAGUGAUGAGGGCUUUCGGGUCGUAAAACUCUGUUGUUAGCGAAGAACAAGUGCUAGUUGAAUAAGCUGGCACCUUGACGGUACGUAACCAGAAAGCCACGGCUAACUACGUGCCAGCAGCCGCAGUAA